rnacentral:lncRNA from 1 species
GGUGACAAAAAAAAAUUAUAGAAAAAACAGAAAAAAAAAUAAAGAUAAAAAAUUAUAUAAAAAGAAAGAUGAACAUCAAAUUGUAUCGUUAACUGCAAAAAAAAUUAUAAGUUGCACUAUUUAAGAUGUAAACUGCAGCUUUAAGAUGAAAAACUACACUCUUUAAACGAAAAUUACACUCUUGAGAAAUAUUUUAUACUGUUUCUCUUCUUAUUACACUCUUCAGAUGUAAACUGCAUCCAUUAAGAUGAAAGUUACACUCUUUAAACAAAAGUUGUACUGUUUCUCCUCUUGUUGCAC